rnacentral:rRNA from 1 species
UGCCAGCAGCCGCGGUAAUACGAAGGUGGCGAGCGUUGUUCGGAUUUACUGGGCAUAAAGGGCGUGUAGGCGGCUUGGUAAGCGGAAUGUGAAAUCCCGGGGCUCAACCCCGGAACUGCACUCCGAACUGCCGAGCUAGAGGAUAGGAGGGGGAUCUGGAACUCUAGGUGGAGCGGCGAAAUGCGUAGAUAUCUAGAGGAACGCCGGUGGCGAAAGCGAGAUCCUGGCCUGUCCCUGACGCUGAGGCGCGAAAGCGUGGGUAGCAAACAGGAUUAGAUA